AUUGAACGCUGGCGGCAUGCCUAACACAUGCAAGUCGAACGAGUGGCGGACGGGUGAGUAAUGUCUGGGAAACUGCCUGAUGGAGGGGGAUAACUACUGGAAACGGUAGCUAAUACCGCAUACCAUCAGAUGUGCCCAGAUGGGAUUAGCUUGUUGGUGGGGUAUCGGCUCACCAAGGCGACGAUCCCUAGCUGGUCUGAGAGGAUGACCAGCAAAAGGGGAACGGAGACAGGGUCCAGAGUCCUACGUGAGGAAGCAGUGGGGAAUAUGGGACAAUGGGCGCAAGCCUGAGGCAGCCAGGCCGCGUGUAUGAAGAAGGCCUUCGGGUUGUAAAGUACUUUCAGCGGGGAGGCGUUACCCGCAGAAGAAGCACCGGCUAACUCCGUGCCAGCAGCCGCGGUAAUUC
rnacentral:rRNA from 1 species